GACGAACGCUGGCGGCGUGCUUAACACAUGCAAGUCGAACGAGAAUCUGUGGAAAGAGGAUUCGUCCAAUUGAAGCAGAGGACAGUGGCGGACGGGUGAGUAACGCGUGAGGAACCUGCCUUUCAGAGGGGGACAACAGUUGGAAACGACUGCUAAUACCGCAUAACAUAUAGAUGUCGCAUGGCAUUUAUAUCAAAGAUUUAUCGCUGAAAGAUGGUCUCGCGUCUGAUUAGCUAGUUGGCGGGGUAACGGCCCACCAAGGCGACGAUCAGUAGCCGGUCUGAGAGGAUGAACGGCCACAUUGGGACUGAGAUACGGCCCAGACUCCUACGGGAGGCAGCAGUUGGGGAAUAUU
rnacentral:rRNA from 1 species